rnacentral:rRNA from 1 species
UUUGUAGAAGGUGCCUCGGGCGCGGCGGCGGCGCAAGUCCCAUGGAACUGGGCGCCGUAGAGGGUGAGAGUCCCGUACGUUGCCGUCCGCCAGACCCGCGUGAGGCCCUUUCGACGAGUCGAGUUGUUUGGGAAUGCAGCUCUAAUUGGGUGGUAAAUUCCAUCUAAAGCUAAAUACCCGCCAGAGACCGAUAGCGCACAAGUAGAGUGAUCGAAAGAUGAAAAGCACUUUGAAAAGAGAGUAAAAAGCAUGUGAAAUUGUUGAAAGGGAAGCGCUUGCAGCCAGACUCGCCCGCGGGCGUUCAGCCGUCCUCCGGGGCGGUGCACUCGUCCGCGAUCGGGCCAGCAUCGAUUCCGGCGGCCGGACAAAGACCCCGGGAACGUACCUCCUCCAGGGGAGAACUUACAGCCCGGGGUGCAAUGCGGCCCGCCGGGAUCGAGGACCGCGCUUUUGCUAGGAUGCUGGCGUAAUGGCUGCCAGCGACCCGUCUUGAAACACGGA